AAACAGAGCUCGAGCGUCAUAGUUCGGGAGCAGUUGGAAAGAGGAACGCUUAUUACGUCGACACAUUUCGAUCACAUCGGGAUGCUGAGGCAAGCCAUCUUGAUCCUUGUCGUAGCAGUCGCUGUCGCUAGUGCCUUCUAUGAAACGUGGCGAUACCAUGGAUUCCAGCCGUACAACCCAUGGAUAUAUGGAGCCGGCACAGAUCAUGUUAAAUAUGAUGACAUAGAAAAGGGACAAAACAGACCACCAGCUCUGGAUUAUUGAUCCCAUGUCAGUGUAAUUCCUGUCAAGAGCCUUCGACCGAGUUGUCAUAUUUAAUCAGGCCGAGUCGGAAUGCGAUCGCAAAUGAUGAAUAUCGUUCAAAUUACUGAAACAUUUAAAGCUUGGAAUAUAGCCCCAGCUGAACUUUGUUUAAACAGCAUUCCAAUACCGCCUGUAUGUAAGUAAAAUAUCUAGCAGGAAUCCAAGUCUCCUACUAAAUACAUCUGAAAGG